CUGUCCCUGUGAUGCUAGCACUGGGCUCUGAAUCAAUGUGACGAUACGGUGCCCCUCUGUCCUGACAUGCAGAGGGCCUGAGGGACAG